CAGUAGCCACGGUAAUACGAUGGGGGCUAGCGUUGUUCGGAUUUACUGGGCGUAAAGGGCGCGUAGGCGGACUGAUGAGUCAGGGGUGAAAUCCCAAGGCUCAACCUUGGAACUGCCUUUGAUACUGUUUGUCUUGAGUUCGAGAGAGGUAAGUGGAACUGCGAGUGUAGAGGUGAAAUUCGUAGAUAUUCGCAAGAACACCAGUGGCGAAGGCGACUCUCUGGUCUGUAACAGACGCUGAGGAGCGAAAGCGUGGGGAGCGAACAGGAUUAGAUACCCCCGUAGUCCCUGUCUCUUAUCA
rnacentral:rRNA from 1 species